GGCCUAGUGGUCUAGUGGUAUGACUCUCGUCUUUUCUGAGCCUUUGAAUCUCAGCAUGCUCCUUCGAGUGAUGCGUGUUCAAUUCAUGCCUAGGCCU